UCCUUAACUUCCUCUUCUUUCCCAUCGCUUUCUCCUCUCCAAACCGUCGCGACGAACGAUUCCAUUCACCCAAAUCCGGCUGUAGCUUCGCCCUUCCUUGCGAUCCGAAUCCUUUCUUCUUCCCUUUUAUCACUCUAUAUUUGCCUGCGAUCGAUCGUCCCUCCCGCCUCCCAUCGUCCGCCACAGAUGCAGUUGCCGGAGCUAGGGUUUCCUCCCGUUUAUUUUCCGGGAAUCUCCGCCUCUGGAGUGUUUCGAUUCGACGUCUAGUUGAUCCUUGAAUCGUAAUUCAUCUGGAAUUGAUAGUUUGUGCUGUCGGAAGGACUGGAGGCAACCGAAUCGGGGAAGAUGCAAAGCUAUGCAGGGGUGGAAAGGAAAGAUGAGAUGAAGGUUUGGCGGCUCAUUCAGUCUGUCUCCACGCCUAAUGUUGUACAAGAAGCUGGAGAAAUUGUUAUCACCGGCUGCAGACGCAUUUGGGAUUCGUUCCUAAAGCAACACCAGGAAGAAGUUGGUAAACCUUUGAACCAGACUCAGGUAGAAAUGAAUGGAGCAUUGCAAUCAGGUGGGCAUUCACAAAAGACACUGAAUACUCCGACAAGCAGUCAACAGUUAAAAUCUGCUUCAGAUAAUGUAGAGAGUAGUGGCACCUCUCCUCAUGUCAAGGGAAAGAAAAGAUUGAGGAAUGAUCAAAUAGUGGAGCCAAUCAAGGGUGACCAGACCACGGAACUUGUCAAGAAAGACCUUCAUACAGAAACAAUCAAGCGAGAGCAAUUUUCUAAAGUUGGUGAUGGAGGUUUUGUUACCUUUAAAUUUGACAACAUUAACACAGAAAUUAACAAAAUAUCUGAUAAAGGUGGGCUUGUGAGCACUGAAGGGGUUGAGAAUUUGGUCAGCUUAAUGCAACUAGAUAUAACAGAGAAGAAAAUAGAUUUAGCUGGUCGCAUAAUACUUGUUGAUGUCAUUACCGUUACAGAAAAGUCCGAUUUCCUUAAUAAGUUUGUUCAGCUUAGGGGAGUGCCUGUGCUGGAUGAAUGGCUCCAGGAGGUGCACAAAGGAAAGACUGAUAAUGGAAGCAAUCCUCAUGAGAGUGAAAAAUUAGUUGAGGAAUUUCUCUUGUCUUUGCUUCGUGCACUUGAAAAAUUGCCUAUAAACCUACAUGCUCUGCAGAUUUGUAAUAUUGGCAAGUCGGUGAACAAUUUACGCAGUCAUAAAAACAUGGAGAUUCAGAAGAGAGCUAGGGGUCUUGUUGACACUUGGAAGAAACGAGUUGAUGCAGAGAUGUCAAAAAUAAGUGAUGGGAAAUUUGUUGCAUCUGGUCAACCAGCUUCAUUUUCUAUGAAGCCAGGACAUUCCGAUGUUACUCAAGCAGGAAAUAAGCGCACUGGAUCAAUUGAUGCAGCUGGUAAAAUCUCUAUAACUCGGCCAUCAGCUGGUAAGGCUUUACCUAGUAAACAUGGGAUCACUGAUUCUAAUAAGAAGCCAAUUGUACUUGCACCUCUUGUAGCUAGCUCAAAGGAUCUACAUUGUAAAACAGCUGCAGGCAGUGGGGUUUCAAUAUUGUCAUUUCCAACAGUUAAAGAGGAGAAGAGCAUUGCUUCCAGUCCAUCUCAGAGCAACAGCCACUCUUGUUCUAGUGAUCAGGUAAAAACAAUGACUUCUUCAUGGAAGGAAGAAGCAAUGAGUUCAGUAGUUGGAUCUGGGAAUGCUAGCAAGUUAAUUGGCUCUAUGAACCGCAGUCGUCGGUCAAGCAAUGGGCUUCUUGUAACUAAUGUAUCUGGAAAUCUUAAUGAAACUCAUGCUGGUAAGUGUAUGUCAGUUAACAAGGUUAUGACAGCAGCAAAAACAUUACAAGGUGAAAAACCACUUGAUAUCCCUGUUGAUGAUCAUGGAAAUAUCAGUACGUUGAUAGUUAGGUUUCCCAACACCGGACGAAGCCCAGGGAAGAGUGACAGUGGUGGUUCUCUUGAGGAUCAAUUGGUAACUAGCGGCAAAUCAUCGCCUGUGGGUAUAUCAGACAAAAAUGAUUUGAAUGAUGGCAAAUUAAAACUGAAGAACGAUGUUCCUUUGUAUCACACAACUGAUGUUAAUACAGCGGCAUGUCAGGGCAAUGAUGUUAAUGAAGGAUUAAGUGGGAUUGAAGAACAUAGAAGAAAUGCUGAGGUAACUGCAAAACUCGCAGAUCCUGCUAGAACUGCCUGUUUGUCAGGGAAUGAAAAUGGAACUUGCUGGACUGAACCAAGGGCAAAUUCUUACAAUUCUAUGCUUGCCUUGGUAGAAAGCUGUGCUGAGUAUUCUGAAUCUGCUAAUCCUUUGGCUGCUGGGGAUGAUAUGGGGAUGAAUCUAUUAGCUACUGUGGCUGCUGGGGAAAUUUCCAGGUCUAACAUAAUUACACCAAUUGAUUCACUUGGAAGUCCACGUGCAGUAGAGGAACAAUGCACUGGCAAUGAUGUCUCUAUGUUAGGAUUAUCUUGUGAUGAUGAUAUGGCUGAGAGGAAUACUCCACAUGAUGAAUCUGCUAAUUCUAGCUCUGAGAAGAAAGAAAAGAAAGUUGAUUGUGUGUUAGCUUCUGAUAUAUUACAGACUGAUAACAAGCUUACAAGUAAAAGUGCUAAUUCUACUCAAUUGCAGACAACACAAUCUACUAUCACAUGUAUGAGCUCUCUUGAUAAUUUAGAUUCUGAGAACACAGUGGUAAAAUCUGGGGAAGAAAGAAUUGAUGAACCAGAACCAGAGGAGGGUGAUAGCAUUGGAGCUGAUCCAAUUAAAGACAAACAAACCACUGAUGUGCAAAUUUCUGGCAUUUGUACAUAUAUUAGGCCUAAUUUUACAGGCCCAUUGAAGGAUGAGAACACAUCUUUUGAAAGGAAUUGUAAGAUUGAAGAUAACAACAAUAUGUGCUUUUCUGAUGUUAAAGCAGGUAACAAGUUUGAUAUAGAUGUCAGUGAUUCUGGUAGGAAAUUAGAAGCUCCUGUUGUUGAAGAGCAUACGACAAGCCAAGUAGUGAAAAAACCGUCGAGUAGUUCUAGCUCGACUGAAAACCUUUUGAAAUCUUCUUCACUAGAUUCUGAAAUCUCAUUGCCUGCUGUCAGUAUGCCUUCUCUUACCGCUAUCAAUGAGUCUAAUGUCCUGAAAUCCAAUAACAUGGAGAUCAGUCCGUUGGAAUUGUCCUGUGAAGCAAAGGAGAAGAAUAUCCCCCCUCCUAGCACUGAUGAACUAGUAGUGUCUGCUGCUGUUUCUCGUGUCACUGCUGAGAUUCUUGAAAAUUUGAAGGAGGCUAAUGAGAGUCGCUCAGCUGAAUCAUCAGCAAUUCAAGAAGCGCUGUCUACUAAAAUCAAGGAAACUGAGAAUUCAGAAAAGUCUUCUAGGUCAUUUGGGAUUGAGGAAAUGAAGGAGGAGGAUCAUGCAUCAUCUUUAGAUCGCUGCUCAUCAAUUGUUUUUGCUGAACAAGUUGUUGUCACUAGACUCCAACUUGAUUUGAAUGAAGGCAUUCCUGUGGACGAAGGAAAUCAAGGGAAGCCAGUUAUCUCUUCAACAAUAUCUGCCUCUUCAGUACAUAUGCCUUGCCAAUCUCUUUUCUCAAUUUCUAUGUCAACUAAUUUGCCAGCUUCAGUAACUGUAGCUGCUCCAGCAAAAGGUCCUUUUGUUCCACCUGAAGUUUUGUUUAAGACUAAGGGUCAGCCUGGAUGGAAAGGCUCAGCGGCUACUAGUGCAUUCCGGCCAGCUGAGCCAUGGAAGGCAUCUAAUAUUCUAGAUACCCUGCCAUCUGAUGGUGCUGGAAAGAAGAGUCAUCUGCUGCUACAUAUUGAUCUUAACAUAGCUGAUGAGGACGUUGAGGAUCAGAUGGCAGGUAUUACUACUGCUAAUGAUUUCCCUACAAAAAAUGUUGUCGGGGUAGAUCUCGAUUUAAACAAAGUUGAUGAUAGUGUGAAGAAUGGCCAGUUCUUGGCAAGCACUAACCGUAGAUUGGAGCUGCCACUUUUGCACAUUCAAUCUGCAUCUGGAGGACUCCCUGCUGGCAAAGCAAAUGUACUCCGGAAUUUUGAUCUGAAUGACAGACCAGGCAUUGAUGAAAUUGGUACAGAAAUGCAACCCAGGUGCCAACAAGCAAACUAUGCAAAUAUUGUACCAAGUUUAGCUCCUGUUAGUGGUCAUAGAACAAAUAAUUUGGAACCUGGGUAUGCCUCAUCUUCCUUCUGUCCUAACUCUUAUCCAGGUGCUGUUCCAUCUUUUUUGCCUGAUAGAGGAGAGCAAUUCAAUCUGGCAGUUGCAGCAGUAGAAUCCCAUAGAAUUUCAGGAUCAUUAUGUGCUGGUAACCUUGGUAAUGAUAUUUAUCAGGGUCUUGCAUUAUCAUCAUCUCCUGCUACAACAUUUCCUUUUGCAAACGUAUCCUGUCCUUCCACUUUUUCACGUGCACCAGCCUCCUCUCUCUCUGGUGGAUCAAUCCCAUAUGUUGAUUCUUCUAGUGGAGGUGGUUCGUGCUUCCCUGCUUAUCCUUCACUACUUGUCGGUCCUGUUUCUGCUGUUUCAUCUCACUAUCCUAGGCCUUACAUGAUAAGUUUUCCUGAAGGUAGCACUGGUAGUUUGAGUAGACAAGGCUUGGAUUUGAAUACUGGUCCUGGGAGUGGAUAUCUGGAAGGAAAAGAGGGGAAUCUGCCUUCAUCCUCAAGAUAUCUUUUGCCUGCUUCUUCCCAGAUUUUCAUGGAGAAUCAGACUAGAAUGCAUGGUGUUCCUGGUGUGGGUUCCAAGAGGAAGGAGCCUGAAGGGAGUUGGGGUGCAGAAAGACCCACUGAGAGAUCGGCUAAGCAUUCACCAUGGAAGUAAGAAAAUAAAUGAAGAAGCAGCUUUGCACUGUACCUCGAGUCCGGUUAUACACACCAACUGAGGCACACAUCCUAGUGCGUGCAUCAAGCAUGAAUUUGGGAUCUUACUGAGGUGAUCCAGAACUUGCUUUAGUUCCUGUAAAUUUCACUCACCAUUUUCAUCUUCUCUGAAGAUGUUUUCUUGGCAUUUUUAGGGCUUUCAGAUAUUACUUGGUUGGGGCGGAUGUGAAUAGCAGCACUUCUUCAGUGUCUCAACAUGUACGUCUUAUUACCUGACAAAUUGUGACAUUUUAUAUUUUUUAUUGCAGAAAAGCACAUCUUAACAUUCACUUCAUUCUUGUAGUUGCUUAUAUCAUACUUUAUGGUAAUAUGACACCGUAGCUCAGCUAUAUCUACUAGUCGAUAAAGCAAAUCUUCAAGGCUUUUUUUCCCGAGGUAAAAUGCUGUAGCAAUUUGUACCUCAAAUUAUUUCUAAUUUUUUUAUUCUUUUGAUGAUUCUGUGACUAAUACAAACUUAACAGUGAAUAUAUUCACUGCACUUAUGCUUA